AUGAACGCUGGCGGCGUGCCUAAUACAUGCCAGUCGAGCGAACAGACGAGGAGCUUGCUCCUCUGACGUUAGCGGCGGACGGGUGAGUAACACGUGGAUAACCUAUCUAUAAGACUGGGAUAACUUCGGGAAACCGGAGCUAAUACCGGAUAAUAUAUUGAACCGCAUGGUUCAAUAGUGAAAGACGGUUUUGCUGUCACUUAUAGAUGGAUCCGCGCCGCAUUAGCUAGUUGGUAAGGUAACGGCUUACCAAGGCGACGAUGCGUAGCCGACCUGAGAGGGUGAUCGGCCACACUGGAACUGAGACACGGUCCAGACUCCUACGGGAGGCAGCAGUAGGGAAUCUUCCGCAAUGGGCGAAAGCCUGACGGAGCAACGCCGCGUGAGUGAUGAAGGUCUUCGGAUCGUAAAACUCUGUUAUUAGGGAAGAACAAAUGUGUAAGUAACUAUGCACGUCUUGACGGUACCUAAUCAGAAAGCCACGGCUAACUACGUG
rnacentral:rRNA from 1 species